rnacentral:lncRNA from 1 species
UAAAGGACGGAACAACUUCUGUGCGAGGAAUGGCGAUUUCUUGUCUUUUAGACAAUACCUGAAUCUUAUUACAAAGAAUACGGGUUAAUUACAGAAAGUUUGGAAACCACAGCACAUGACGGACUGCGUGCCCUCCCUUUCCCAUUCCCCGCACACGCGCACCUCCUGAGGCUGGGUGAAAGGGGAGAGGAGUUGCUAUGCAGCGUCAGUGAGACGAGGAUGACCGAACGUGGGUCACCAUUCAGGGACGAGGCGUGAG